GCUGGGCGUGGUGGCGCACACCUGUAGUCCCAGCUACUCAGGAGGCUGAGACAGGAGAAUAGCUUGAACCCGGGAGGUGGAGGUUGCAGUGAGCCGAGAUUGCGCCACUGCACUCCAGCCUGGGUGACAGAGCAAGACUCCGUCUCAA
ensembl:misc_RNA Metazoa_SRP Metazoan signal recognition particle RNA